GCUACAUGGAAUCCCACGAAUCCUCCAGGCCAUUUUAUGCAUGAAGAAACAGACUCAGAAUAAAUAAUUUCUAUGGGUGAUACAGACUCCAAGAUCCAGACCAGGGCAAGAACCAGUUCCUCAGAUCCGUCCGCUGCUACAAGACACGGAAUAAGAGUGGUGAAUUCAUUCAAGAAUUCUAUAUUGAGUAUUUUCUGCUUGGUACUCUAAUAACGACUGGAGACCCAGUAGAACAAGAUAGAAAUAUCAGGGGAGAUUUCAAGAAGAAGUUUGAGUGAAGCCAAUCUCUACACCAUCUGAGGAUGUCACAAGAGAUCCCAGACCACCCAUCACCAAGUCUCUUUUUUUUUUCCUUCCCAAAUGAAAAGAAAGAGAAAGAAAAGUGAAGAAAUCAAAGCUGGGACUAUCUGAGGGAAGAGCAUUUGGGGCAGAGGGCACAGCAAAUGCCAAGUCCUGGGGAAGGAACCAUCUAGGUGUUUGAAAGACAGCAUAAAGACCAGUGGGGCUGGAGCAUUGUGAACAAGAGGAAAGCCCCAAGAGAAGAUGUUGAAACCAGAUCACAUAGGACUUUGUAGGCCUUGGAAAGGAGUUUCUAUUGCAAUUGGAACUGCUGGUGGGUUUUAGCCAAGGUGGCAAUAUGAUUUAAGUUUUUAAAACAUCCCUUCGGCUGCUGUGUGAACUGACCACAGUGAUGCAAGGACGGAGAUCAGGAGACCAGAUCCAGGCCCCAGUGAAGGGCUUGGACCAGAGUGGCAGCAGUGGAGAAGGUAGUAAGCAGCCAGAUUAGGAUGUAUCCUGGAGAUCAAGCCUACAGGACUUGCUGCUGGAUCUGCGAGCACUGGGUUUGCUGAUGGGCUGGAUAUGAGCUGUUGGGGGGAAGGGACCACUCAAGUCUGCAUCCCAGGUUUUUGCUCUGAGCCACUUCCUGCAGCCCCACCUCUGCAGGCUGUCACAUUGCACACGGGCUUCCUGCCUCAGCUUCCUUUGAUGGAAGCCCAGGCCUGGACUGUGGCAGAGACGAUGCUGUGUGUCCACUAAGCCAAUCCAUCAUCCUCCUGGAUACACAGGAUGGCCUCAGUCCCCAGGCCCCUGACAUCUAGGCGGGGCCAUACGUCUCGGUCACUAACUGUGAAACUGCGCCUGUCUUGCUGCACCUCCGUCAAUUAUUCAGUCCUCACAAGUCUGUCUCCUUUCCUAACAUGCUCGAUGCUCUGACAACACAGAGCCUGUCAUCGAUUGUUCAAAUGUGACUCCUGGAGCCGGCAGCUUUAAGGAUCAGGUGGCCAUGAAUGACAGUUCACCGCACGGCCAGCCACCCCGUGCUGCCUUGGUGUGUUUGCACAUCCGCACGUUACUUCUACCCUGCCAGCUCCUUGCAGCCAUGAAAGUCCUUUUCCUUUAUAAACUACACAGAUGUUUAGAGGAAGCUCUGGGUUAGUUCAGCUGCUCUCUGGGUUCUAUCCCAACUCAGACACGUCCCGUGUUCUAUUACCUAUAGGUUUGGCAUUAUACCGAAGGCAGUUUAGGGGAGGCAUUGUGAGAGGUGACUCCCAGCUUGCCCGUGAUCGAAACUCUGACGAUCAGAGAAGUCCUAAUAACAUGUCCUAAAGUUGAGUCCUAGAAUUUCAUAGAGGGGCAUGCAAAGCCCUGUGCCAGCCCUAAAUGGACCAGAGUUCUAGAUAAAUCCUAAACCAGGACUUCAGGCACAGGGACAACUCAGGAUUCCAGACACGGGAACUCAGAUCUAAGGAGACCUGGUCUUUGGAACUAAACAGAAAAUCAGGUCAUAGAACUGGUGCCCAAGAGCAACCAGAGUGACCUUCUGCUGAGACCUAAGGGUCAGCUGGGUCCCCUCACAUCUUUCCCUGAUAUGAACGGGCCUGCACACAAGGGGGCAGCUCACCUGUGAAAGGACCACCAGUGGCCCCAGCUGGGCAGAACCAAGCAGGACUUGACUUCCUCCUCCUUCUGGGUCACCUCACUGCAGUCCAGCCACUGUUCCUUCUCAUUUCUGCACUUAAAACUGAAGACUAACUCAAAAAUAUAUGCACCCCAUGUCUAUUGCAGCAUUAUUUACAAUAGCCAAGAUAUAGAAACA